UAAGGGCGCACGGUGGAUGCCUUGGCACUAGAAGCCGAUGAAGGACGUUACUAACGACGAUAUGCUUUGGGGAGCUGUAAGUAAGCUUUGAUCCAGAGAUUUCCGAAUGGGGAAACCCAGCAUGAGUUAUGUCAUGUUAUCGAUAUGUGAAUACAUAGCAUAUCAGAAGGCACACCCGGAGAACUGAAACAUCUUAGUACCCGGAGGAAGAGAAAGAAAAUUCGAUUCCCUUAGUAGCGGCGAGCGAAACGGGAAGAGCCCAAACCAACAAGCUUGCUUGUUGGGGUUGUAGGACACUCUAUACGGAGUUACAAAGGACGACAUUAGACGAAUCAUCUGGAAAGAUGAAUCAAAGAAGGUAAUAAUCCUGUAGUCGAAAAUGUUGUCUCUCUUGAGUGGAUCCUGAGUACGACGGAGCACGUGAAAUUCCGUCGGAAUCUGGGAGGACCAUCUCCUAAGGCUAAAUACUCUCUAGUGACCGAUAGUGAACCAGUACCGUGAGGGAAAGGUGAAAAGCACCCCGGAAGGGGAGUGAAAUAGAACCUGAAACCGUGUGCUUACAAGUAGUCAGAGCCCGUUAAUGGGUGAUGGCGUGCCUUUUGUAGAAUGAACCGGCGAGUUACGAUUUGAUGCAAGGUUAAGCAGUAAAUGUGGAGCCGUAGCGAAAGCGAGUCUGAAUAGGGCGUUUAGUAUUUGGUCGUAGACCCGAAACCAGGUGAUCUACCCUUGGUCAGGUUGAAGUUCAGGUAACACUGAAUGGAGGACCGAACCGACUUACGUUGAAAAGUGAGCGGAUGAACUGAGGGUAGCGGAGAAAUUCCAAUCGAACCUGGAGAUAGCUGGUUCUCUCCGAAAUAGCUUUAGGGCUAGCCUCAAGUGAUGAUUAUUGGAGGUAGAGCACUGUUUGGACGAGGGGCCCC
rnacentral:rRNA from 1 species